rnacentral:lncRNA from 1 species
GGAUUGACAGGUAAUAGGUGCUAAAGUACAGAACAUGACAUGAAACCUAUGCUAUAGUAUAGGUCUAAGGUUGUACUAACUAACGCAACAGGUUUCAGGUUAAUUGGAUAAACAGAUCAGAAGGUACUGGCUUGCAAAAGUGGCUAGUCAGAUUCUGACAGACAAAGAAUACUAACUUCUACUGAAAAGAUACUGGUGCUAAACUAUUCCAAUGACAGAUAACUAAACCAAAGGAUCCAAGAAUAUGAUCCACUCUUCCAAAUGGCACUGGUUUCACUAACAAUGGAGAUAUGAGACAGUAGCUAUGAACAGGUGAAUGUGGCUACUCUAAAACAGGACAGUACAGGAUAUGAACUUCUACCGUCGUGCUGCUAGUGAAGGUGGAGUUGAAAUGGUCGAACUAGGAAAUGGAUGUGAAGGGGUGUUCCUAUAGUUCAAUCGACAAAAAGAAACAACUAAAAUGAUGCUACGGACAACAACGGGAACUACUGCGAAUAAGGCUACCCACUAAGAAUGGUGCUGCAACUUUCUGCCGCGGCAGAGAUACGGCAGAGAAACUGAUUAGAAUACCAUUUUGCGACGACGAUGCAAAGCACGAGAUGAACCAUCUACGGCUAAUGUCUACAGAGAAAUUGUAGGGGAACAUUCACUCUACACAAUGGUGAAAUCUAGAGCACAUAAUGAUCAUUGGUUUGAUUGAAAAUGAUGCCUAAACAGAGCUAACCGAAGAACAAAAGCUGCAGUGAACUUGAACAAGUUGAUACCCAAAUCUUCCCGGAGAUGAACUUGAAACGAAGAAUCGAAGCGCAGGAAGGAAGAAGAAGGGUUGGAGGAGAUUCACGGCG